GAGCAAACAGGAUUAGAUACCCUGGUAGUCCACGCCCUAAACGAUGUCAACUGGUUGUUGGGUCUUCACUGACUCAGUAACGAAGCUAACGCGUGAAGUUGACCGCCUGGGGAGUACGGCCGCAAGGUUAAAACUCAAAUGAAUUGACGGGGGCCCGCACAAGCGGUGGAGCAUGUGGUUUAAUUCGAAGCAACGCGCAGAACCUUACCAACCCUUGACAUCCUCGGACCGCCAGAGAGAUCUGGCUUUCACUUCGGUGACCGAGUGACAGGUGCUGCAUGGCUGUCGUCAGCUCGUGUCGUG
rnacentral:rRNA from 1 species